rnacentral:tRNA from 1 species
GGCCCGUUGGUCAAGUGGUUAAGACACCGCCCUUUCACGGCGGUAACAUGGGGUCAAAUCCCGUACGGGGCAUCA